GGAUUAGAUACCCUGGUAGUCCACGCCCUAAACGAUGGAUACUAGAUGUCGGAUUUCCUAAUAGAUUCGGUGUCGUAGCUAACGCGUUAAGUAUCCCGCCUGGGGAUUACGGUCGCAAGAUUAAAACUCAAAGGAAUUGACGGGGGCCCGCACAAGCGGUGGAGCAUGUGGUUUAAUUCGAUGCUACGCGAAGAACCUUACCUAGGCUUGACAUCCCGGGCUACCCUGUGAAAGCAGGGGUUCUCUUCGGAGACUCGGUGACAGGUGCUGCAUGGCUGUCGUCAGCUCGUGCUG
rnacentral:rRNA from 1 species